rnacentral:rRNA from 1 species
GUGAGGAAUAUUGGGCAAUGGGCGAAAGCCUGACCCAGCCACGCCGCGUGAGUGAUGAAGGCCUUCGGGUUGUAAAGCUCUGUGGGGAGGGAAGAAAAAGCGCAGGAGUAACUGCCUGUGUGUUGACGGUACCUCCUUAGCAAGCACCGGCUAACUCUGUGCCAGCAGCCGCGGUAAUACAGAGGGUGCAAACGUUGCUCGGAAUUACUGGGCGUAAAGCGCGUGUAGGCUGACAUGCAAGUCGGGUGUGAAAUCCCAGGGCUCAACCUUGGAACUGCACUCGAAACUGCACGUCUUGAGUACUGGAGAGGGAAGCGGAAUUCCGGGUGUAGAGGUGAAAUUCGUAGAUAUCCGGAGGAACACCAGUGGCGAAGGCGGCUUCCUGGACAGUAACUGACGCUGAGACGCGAAAGCGUGGGGAGCAAACAGGAUUAGAAACCCCAGUAGUCC